UUGGCUAAUUAUUCCAAGACUUUUUAAGCAGGCACUGGGCAAGAGGCCUCGAAAUGUGGGCCCUGUUUUGAAAGCACAUGGGCUAUAGUGCUGCUUUGUUUGGUUGUGUUUGAAGUUGCCCUAGAGGAGCUGCUGGUGUAGAUCUGGAUAAAUGCUUGAACAUUAACUGAUUGGUAUAUCUGCUAUAUGCCAAUGAAGAUUUAUCAAUUGCUGUUUCUCCCGUGUUUUUGUUUGGUCCCCUGAUUGGCCGGUCUCAGGAGUGUGCUGCAUGGUGGCAGCACGUGUAUCGUGUGAAUUGUUUGUGUACGAGUCCGGUUGGCUGGGGCUUUGUUUUUUUUGUAUUCUUUUAUUUUUAUUGGUGAUACCUUCCCAGCCUUAUGCUGCCAGCUUAACUCAUGGUGCUUGUAUUUUGUGUGCGUGUGUGUGUGAAUGCCUUUGUGUAUGGGAUUUAAGUUUGCUGUGGUUAUUGCCUUUUGAGUGUUUAAUGUAAGAGGGAUGUCCCCCUAUGCCUAAAGGUUUGCCGCACGCAACAAAAGCAGUCAUUAUAGGGAGAGAGUUGAGCUGGCUGUUAACCUCUUUGAGAGCUGGGACCAAUUGUGGAUGAGCUACUAGUAUCAAUUUGUUUAAUGUUUAGGUGUUUUAUGUAUAUUCUCUGUCCUAUUUUGAAAUAAAUGUUUGUACAUUA